AUACAAAUCCCUUUAUAUAACUAAAUUGAUUACUAAAACAUGCAUAUUUUAUCCAUUUAUAAGAUCAUUUAAGAAAUAUGGUAUAUUUUACCAAUAAAGCACUUUGCAGUUGCUCCUUAAGGUUAUUGUUCUCCUCUUUCAGAACAUCUGCUUCUUUCUAGAAAGUAACAAAAGGUAGGAGUUGGUAUUUGGUUUGAGUUACUUUAAAUUUUACUUUGAUUAUUGUCCAAAAUCUGUAAGUCGUCAAGAUGAUGAUUUGAACAUGAAUAUUUACUUGUGUACUCCUCAAUUGAAAUGGUGGAUAUUGGUUGAAAUUACAGCUUCCUGCUGCUUUGCCAAAUGUAAAUAAGUCUCCAAUCCUACUCAGUGCAAUAAAGAAUACUGAUAACAUUCAUCUUAGUUAACCUACUACUGGUUUAUUUCUCCACACUUCCUGCAUUGGACAAGAAAUAUACUCACUACCUUACACAUGUCACUGUAACCCC